AGUUAGGUGGCUGAAUAUUAGGCAAUAAAUUGUAAAUUUAUUUAUGGUGUUAAAUCCCCUUACUA
rnacentral:tRNA from 1 species